AGUGAACGCUGGCGGUAGGCCUAACACAUGCAAGUCGAACGGCAGCACAGUAAGAGCUUGCUCUUACGGGUGGCGAGUGGCGGACGGGUGAGGAAUACAUCGGAAUCUACUUUUUCGUGGGGGAUAACGUAGGGAAACUUACGCUAAUACCGCAUACGACCUACGGGUGAAAGCAGGGGAUCUUCGGACCUUGCGCGAUUGAAUGAGCCGAUGUCGGAUUCGCUAGUUGGCGGGGUAAAGGCCCACCAAGGCGACGAUCCGUAGCUGGUCUGAGAGGCUGGUCCGCCACACUGGAACUGAGACACGGUCCAGACUCCUACGGGAGGCAGCAGUGGGGAAUAUUGGACAAUGGGCGCAAGCCUGAUCCAGCCAUACCGCGUGGGUGAAGAAGGCCUUCGGGUUGUAAAGCCCUUUUGUUGGGAAAGAAAAGCAGCAGGUUAAUACCCCGCUGUUCUGACGGUACCCAAAGAAUAAGCACCGGCUAACUUCGUG
rnacentral:rRNA from 1 species